UCAGUUUGAUUGCCAUUGGUUACCGCUAGUGAUUGUUUACGUAACCAAGUGACCGGUAUUAUUAUUUAUAAUAUUAUUAUGUACAUUCGACAUGAGUCCAUUCGUCUUAGUAUUUACUAUUAUUAACCAUUUGAUAGAAACAAUAAAUCUUCUCUCAAACAAAAAUCAAAAUCACCUGCAAAUAAUGAAAAAUCACAUAGCCAAAUAAAAAAACAAAAAUCAAGACUAAUAUCUAUUAUUCCACAAGUUGAUAAUAAUGAUAAAUUGCAGAAAACAAUUAAAAUUAAACAUGUUGAAAUGCAAGACAAAAUGAAACAAUUUUAUUUUAUCGUAAAGUACCUUCUGACAUUAAAUAUGAUUUUCAUACUGAUUUAACAAAUUCUACACCUGUGCUUACUUCAAAGAAAAAAAAUGUUUCAAAUAUUCCAAAUUUGAAUAAUGAAGUCAAUCAAUUGUCCAUUAAAUUCAGUUAACUAAAAAUUGAAUCUGAUUAUGAAAAAAAUAAAGAUAGUGAAUUAAAAAAACAUGUAAAUGAAGAGUCUGAUUUUUGCGACAUUUUAUCAUUCGGAGGAAAGGAUAAAGAUCGAUAUGAUCUCGAAAAAAUAAUGGAUAAUAUAAAGGCUGAAAUUGCUAAUAAAGAUAAUGAUAAAUCAUCUAUGAAAGAAAAUUCAAAGUUCAAUUCAAACAAUAUUAAUGUAGUUAAAAAUACUACUGAAUGAAAUGUAGCAAAAAGAAACUCAAAAGAAAAUCCAGAUCACCUGCAAACAAUGGAAAAAUCACAUAGCCAAAUAAAAAAACAAAAAACAAGACUAAUAUCUACUAUUCCACGAGUUAUCUGAAUUGGCUAUAGUUAAAACCAUUAAAACAAUUUUCAAAUAUAUAGGUUAUGUAAAAUGGAUUUAUAAUAUUAAUAAUAGGUACCUAUAUAAAAUUAAGAAAAUUUUAAAAAAAAAUUGAAUAUGAUUAGGACAUCAAAUACCUAAUCAAUAACUGUAACAUUAAUGUUUUUAAUGCCCUAAUGAUCUUCUCUAAUCCUUUUAGUUUGAUGUUAUUAUUAUUUCUGCAGUUACAAUGACCAGCACGUUCAAGAUUUCUAACAUUCAAUUCAGUAGCAUUUUUAACUACUUACGAUAGAAUCAAAUUGUUUCAUUUCUCUUGCUUUUCAACAGGUUUAAUUUUAAUUGUUUUCUGCAAUUUAUCAUUAUUAUCAACUCGGGGAAUAGCAGAUAUUUGUCUUGAUUUUGAUUUUAUUUUGUUUUGUUAUUAUUAGUUUAUUAUAGAAAAAUGACUAACUUGUUAUUAAAUAUUUUGUAUUCCGAAAAAA